rnacentral:rRNA from 1 species
GAUGAACGCUGGCGGCGUGCCUAAUACAUGCAAGUCGAGCGCGAAGAUCAGGAGCUUGCUCCUGAGAUUUGAGCGGCGGACGGGUGAGUAACACGUAGGCAACCUACCCUUGAGAUUGGGAUAACUACCGGAAACGGUAGCUAAUACCGGAUACGACUUUUCCACACAAGUGGAACUGUUAAAAGGCGGAUUUAUCUGCCGCUCAUGGAUGGGCCUGCGGUGCAUUAGCUAGUUGGUGAGAUAGUAGCUCACCAAGGCGACGAUGCAUAGCCGACCUGAGAGGGUGAUCGGCCACACUGGGACUGAGACACGGCCCAGACUCCUACGGGAGGCAGCAGUAGGGAAUCUUCCGCAAUGGACGAAAGUCUGACGGAGCAACGCCGCGUGAGUGAUGAAGGGUUUCGGCUCGUAAAACUCUGUUGUUAAGGAAGAACACUUGAGGUAGUAACUGGCCUUGAGAUGACGGUACUUAACCAGAAAGCCACGGCUAACUACGUGCCAGCCGCCGCUGUAA